rnacentral:rRNA from 1 species
UGGGGAAUAUUGCACAAUGGGCGCAAGCCUGAUGCAGCCAUGCCGCGUGUAUGAAGAAGGCCUUCGGGUUGUAAAGUACUUUCAGUCGGGAGGAAGGUGGUAAGGUUAAUAACCUUAUCAAUUGACGUUACCGACAGAAGAAGCACCGGCUAACUCCGUGCCAGCAGCCGCGGUAAUACGGAGGGUGCAAGCGUUAAUCGGAAUUACUGGGCGUAAAGCGCACGCAGGCGGUUGAUUGAGUCAGAUGUGAAAUCCCCGGGCUUAACCCGGGAAUUGCAUCUGAUACUGGUCAGCUAGAGUCUUGUAGAGGGGGGUAGAAUUCCAUGUGUAGCGGUGAAAUGCGUAGAGAUGUGGAGGAAUACCGGUGGCGAAGGCUGCCCCCUGGACAAAGACUGACGCUCAGGUGCGAAAGCGUGGGGAGCAAACAGG